AUUUGAUGCACAAGUUGUAACUCUGCACAAUUAGCACCCACCUCAUGAGCCGGCGGUUCUGAUUGUACAUCCUGUGGAGAAAAAUUAGCGGAUUGUGGUCAGUAAACACCACCACAGGGACAACACUAGAUCCGACGUACACUUCGAAAAAUUGAAGGGCUAAUAACAAAGCCAAUGUCUCCUGCUCGAUGGUGGAGUACCUUGUCUGACAGUCACUGAAUUUUUUUGAAAAGAAACAAAUGGGUCUAUCGAUCCCUUCACCGUCCUCCUGUAAGAGGACGGCGCCUGCGCCCACGGCGCUAGCGUCAACCUCCAUUUUAAAAGGUUUGCCAAAAUCAGGGGCUGCAAGCACCGGGGCAGUACACAGGAGUAGCUUCGCGGAAUUGAACGAAUGCUCACAUUCCGGAGACCACUUAAACGGAACCUUGGGUGACAAAAGUGAAGACAGGGGGGCUACCACCGUCGAAAAGUUUUUGCAAAACGUACGGUAAUAACCCACCAUACCUAGGAAACGGCGAAGCUCACGGCGCGUAACAGGGGCAGGGAAACUAGCUAUGGCUUCCACCUUGCUAGCUAACAACCGAACCUGCCCAUGUCCCACCUGUUUUCCAAGGUAUGUAACUGUAGCUUUUCCGAACUCGCACUUUGCCAGGUUUAACGUCAAGGAUGCUUUUUCUAAACGUUCAAACACCAUGUCUAGCGUAGCGAUAUGGUCGGCCCAAGUUGACGAAUAUAUUACGACGUCGUCGAUAUAUGCGGUACAGUUAGGAACAUCGGCAAACACAGUAUUUACUAGGCGUUGGAACGUAGCGGGGGCAUUGCACAUGCCAAAAGGCAUUACGGUAUAUUGCACGAAAUUGUCAGGGGUCACAAACGCAGAAAUCUCCGAGGCACGAGGGGUUAGAGGCACUUGCCAAUACCCUUUCAACAGGUCUAACUUCGUGACAAACACCGCGGAGCCGAUGCUGUCGAUGCAAUCUUCUAUUCAAGGUAACGGAUAAGAGUCUGGUGCAGUAACACCAUUAACUCGCCGAUAGUCUGUGCACAACCGGGAUGUGCCGUCUGGUUUUGGGACUAGGAUACAAGGUGAACUCCAAGCACUGUUACUGGCUUUGGCCAUGUUGUUUUUUAACAAGUACUCAAUCUCACCUUUCAUCUUCUCCCUCUUAAACGCAUUUACCCGGUACGGGUGUUGACGGAUGGGGGUCGCGUUUCCUACAUCAACAUCGUGUGUCAAAACCGUGGUACAUCCAGGUACGCCCCCGCCUGCAGCGCAACAGUGGCCACUGAAGAGACAGCGGGCUGGAUGGGCUUAGUGGAGAGAGUGUUAGAAGGACCUCGUGUACGCAAACAACACAAAUGGCACUCCCUCAUCCCAGUUUGGAUUAUCCAUACAGUAUUUUCGGAGCAUCGAUUUGAGGGUCUGGUGCCACCGCUCGAGUGCUCCCUGGCUUUCCGGAUGAUACGCACUCGAGACCUGGUGAGUAAUACCCAAUUCUUUUAGAGAGGUUACAAACAGUUUUGACAUAAAAUUUGAACCUUGAUCUGACUGAAGUACUUUCGGUAAGCCAAAUGUAGAGAAAAACUUGAUCAGGGCCUUAACUACAGUCUUGGCUGUGAUGGUACGGAGGGGAAUAGCCUCCGGAUACCGAGUAGCACUACACAUCACUGUUAAAAGGUAUUGGUUACCACUCCGCGUUCUUGGUAAAGGACCCACACAAUCCACGAUUACCCGUUCGAACGGUUCUCCCAGCACAGGAAUCGGGUGCAGAGGCGCCCGAGGGAUGACCUGGUUCGCUUUUCCUGUUAGUUGGCAUUCAUGACAGGGACGACCACCUGCUUGACAACCCCUAAACCCCGAACGUUACCCUGCGCUGCCCACCUGCGCAUAAGAACGCCAGCCUCCAUGAAUUUUCAUUGAAGUGGAAAUACUGGACUGGGCUGGCUCCACGUUCACACGCUCAAGAAUCGAGUCUGACAGGUCCACCUCGUCUCCCAACCUACGGGACUGGGCCCGUGUAAGCACACAAGCUGGGAACACAUGAGGGUAAGCCUGUACUAAAAUGUCGUCCGUAGGUUCCAGGGUAGGUGUGUCCACCACCUCUAACAUGGGUGUUACAUGGCCACCGGCAAUGUCAUUCCCAAGCAGAAAUGUGACUCCCUCCACCGGCAGAGUUGGUACCACGCCAACACGAAAACGUCCCGACACUAGUUUGGACUUUAACCAGACCCAAUGCAGUGGUACAGACAUGGGGGUUGCUCCGAGUCCUUGUAGAAGGACGUUUGACCCACAGUAUGACCCAUGGGACCAGGGCAGGCUGUCUGCUAGUACUAAAGACUGCGCUGCCCCCGUGUCACGCAGUAUGGUG
ensembl:lncRNA